rnacentral:lncRNA from 10 species
UUGCAUCGAUACUGGAGAUUGGACCAAAUUAUGUUUUCUUGGGAGAAGCAGAAUACACCAAGACGCCCCCCUCGCAUGGAUGUGUCAAUGAUCACCCCAGAAUCCGCCACAAGCUGGGGUCCCUCAUAGAGCUUCACCCUGUCCAGGAUUCCAGGAUAGGAGUAUCCAUUGGUGCUAGGGUGCCAGUGGGCACUGUGCCACCAUGCCUGGGGCCUUGCUUUUCCCCAGCCCCCCUUGAGCUCACCAGGCCUGAGAGAGAAGGGAGGGAGGGAAAGGGAGGCAGGAAGGAGAGGGAAGGGGGGUGCUUUUCUCAGGCCUGGGGCCCCUAGCUCUUUGUCCAGCUCCUUUUGCAUCUCAAAGCACCAGCCGCAUUCCAAGCGAGGAUUGGGUUGCCAUGACAAUAAGCACAAUGGGCUGGGGGGUGAAGUCACCCGCUUCCCAGGCUCUAGUCCACCCCCUUUUAUCCCCUGUCCUGGCACCCCACAGCCCCAGGCACCUUAAAGGGGAACCAACCCAGGUUCCUGGACUCUGGGCUCUUGGCCAUGGAAAGUCCAGCCUCUAAGCAGACCCAUUUCCCCUCCCUUCCUGUUCAUCUCCACCAACUAGGGCUACUUGUUGGAGAGAAAUGCAAAGUUGUGGACAAAGUGUUGAACCGAGGCCUGUGAAGUCAGGGCCUUGAUUUUCUCUUCUGUAAAUGAUGAUGCCUUCCAGGUCAGAUGAUCCCUAUCCACGUUGAUAAGACAGGUUCCAGGUCAUACCAACUAAGGGACCAGAUGUGAUGUGCCCCUUCACAGAUUGGCCUGGGUUUGGAGGCUUCUGGAGAACUGUAAAGGGCAUCUAACCCAAUGCCCUCAUUUUACAGACGGGAAAAUGGGUCAUGGAGGAGUGACUUCACCAACAUCACUCAUAGGUGCUUGUGUCCGUGGUGAGAAGGGUGAUGGAGAGAAGUGGCUGCAGUUCCCACCCAUGGAGAGGUCACUGGUGAAUCCCAGCUAAAGAGGAAGGACAGGCCCGGCCUGAGUCCCACAGGUGGGCUCAGCCCCUCUCCUUACCGAAUGUAGCCAACUUGAGGCCGGUGCAGAAGCUGCCAGCGAUAGGAGGUCUUGUCCCGCCAGCCCACAUUUCGUGGGUCUGUCCACAGCAGUCGUACCUGAUCAGGGGUGUGGCCAGUAUGCCACAGGGCAUUUCGGAGGUGCUCACCUGGGCCAGACACUGAUGUCACUGCCUAGGAGACAUUGGCAAAGACAGUGGGUCAACUGCAGAACUGGAGUGAGGGGAGACAACAGGUCGGCUUACCAUCUGAGUCCUUCUGAUUGGGAUUGGGUACCAGGCGGCAGUUAUCGGGACCAGGAGGCACAUAAUCUGGGAUGCCAUCAUUGUCAUCAUCCCCAUCACACUCAUCUCCAAGUCCAUCGUUAUCAGAGUCCAGCUGGGAGCUAUUUGGCAGCUGUGGGCAGUUGUCCUUGGUGUCCUGAUGCCCAUCCCCAUCGCUAAUCAGAAGAACAGGUUGGUGAAAGUCCCGAACUUUGUCUCCCCACCCAGAGGACAACUGGCCAGGAAAUCUGCCUGUUUCUUGUCUCACCCUCUAGUCCACACUCUGCCUAACACUACGCCCUACCUCACAUUCCUAUUGACAUCUGCUGCAGAUCACACCCUUGUGAUGGACAAACUGCUCAGUACAGUCCCACCCACCCAGCCUCCUUGUCCUGGGCACGAGGUUUUUGCCUCCCUGAUUUGGAGUAUUUGGCCCUUACUAGAGAGCUGCCAGAUGAGGUAAGUGAGGCACAGAGAGGACAGGAGGAGGGGAGAGGAGCUUCAAGGGGCAGGGCAGUCUGGGAGUCACCUCAACAUUCUUGAUCCCAUCCCCAUCAGCAUCAUCAUCACACUGGUCCCCCACACCAUCAUUAUCAGCAUCUUCCUGCCCAGAGUUGGGUGUCAAAAGGCAGUUGUCCUAAAGUUCAGGGGAAGAGGAUGGAUGAGUUCUGGCCUGACCCAGCUUGGGCUCCCCACUACGCCCCCUUGCCCGCCUGCUCCCUGCACCUGUUUGCAGUGUUUGUUGUUGUCCAUGCAGGGCAGUGCUUGGUCUGGGUAGCCAUCGAUGUCUGUGUCAGUCCCACACACGUUCCCAUUCCCAGCCCAGCCCACGUUACACUAGGGCAACACAAAGGGUAGGAGCUAGCAGUUUGGUCUGGCUCCCCUCCUCCCUAUAUUUUCCCUGCUUCAGGUCCUAUUCUCCCCACCAAACAGUUCCUGGGCCCAGGCCCACCUCUCUCCUAUGAAGACCCCCAACCCAGGCCCUAAACAUAGCCCUACUCCUUUCCCCAGACCCUCCCUUUUCCUUCCACGCCUGAAGCCUAGCUCACCUGGCAGGACACUGCACCAUUGCGUUCAAAGAGACAGUGAGCAUGGAUGUGGCAGGGGCUGUGGGCUGGGCUGUGGCAGGUCCGGGCUGGGAGGCAGCCCUGGCUCUGGUUGCCCAGGAAACCCAGGCGGCAGGGACCACACUUGAAAGAGCCCUAAGAGUGGAGAGGCAGCAUCUUAGGAAGGAGGGUGAGCCCACCAGGCACCCAGGACCAGCACUGCUCCACCUGCGGAGUGUGGGCUGGGCACUCAGUUAUGCCAGGCAUAUCAGUAUCUCCUUUAGGUUAUCAUGACAACCUUUCAGGGUGGAUAACAGCCUCAGUUUUCAGAUGAGGAAGCUGAGGCUCAGAAAAGUUAAAUAACCUGCUAAAGAGCUAGCAAGAGGCAAACCAGUAUUCCAAACCAAGUCCAUGUGAACACCUAAUCUGUGUAGUGCCCUGGGGAGGAGGAAAGGCAGCAGGAAAUUUGAAGGUAAGAAGGGGCGGGGGUUGGGGUUUUACCAUUCCCACCACCCCAGAAUACACUCAGGAUAUUCAGCUCACCACAGUGUUGGUGCAGAUGGAGUUUGGGUCACAGCCACCAUUGUUGCCAUCGUUGCAUUCAUCGAUGUCAUUGCAGACCUGAAGGGGCAGACUUUGGGUGGAACCAGACCUAUGGUGGGUCUCCUCAGAUACAGCAGAGGACACUGGUAUGGCCUUAUCUGUG